rnacentral:misc_RNA from 1 species
AAGUCGUAACAAGGUUUCCGUAGGUGAACCUGCGGAAGGAUCAUUAUUGAAUACGAUUGGUACUGAUGCUGGCUCUUCACUGAGCAUGUGCUCGUCCAUCUAUUUAUCUUCUCUUGUGCACAUUUUGUAGUCUUGAACGAACCUCUCGCAGUCAAUGCGGUUUGGGAGCUUGGGCGCGAGCCCUUCUCCUGCUUCUUCAAGGCUAUGUUUUCAUAUACACUAUAAAGUUACAGAAUGUCUCUUAACGAUUGCGCUUGUCGUAGUCAUUAAACCUAUACAACUUUCAGCAACGGAUCUCUUGGCUCU